UCUCCGUAGGUGAACCUGCGGAGGGAUCAUUACAGAGUUCAUGCCCUACCGGGUAGAUCUCCCACCCUAUGUUAUUAUUACUUUGUUGCUUUGGCGGGCCGUUAGGCUCCGGCCCGACUACCGGCCCCGGCUGGUAAGCGCCCGCCAGAGGACCCAAAACCCUGAAUAUUAGUGUCGUCUGAGUACUAUAUACUAGUUAAAACUUUCAGCAACGGAUCUCUUGGUUCUG
rnacentral:misc_RNA from 1 species